UACGUAUGGAGCAAGCGUUAUCCGGAUUUACUGGGUGUAAAGGGAGCGUAGGCGGUCGUUUAAGUCUGAUGUGAAAACCCGAGGCUCAACCACGGGACUGCAUUGGAAACUGGGCGACUAGAGUGUCGGAGAGGCAAGUGGAAUUCCUAGUGUAGCGGUGAAAUGCAUAGAUAUUAGGAGGAACACCAGUGGCGAAGGCGGCUUGCUGGACGAUCACUGACGCUGAGACUCGAAAGCGUGGGGAG
rnacentral:rRNA from 1 species